rnacentral:lncRNA from 1 species
CUUUGUCCUCUGGAAUCUCAUCCCUUUGUUGUUACCCUCUAACCAAUCAACGUGCAGCCUUACCCGGGAACGCCCAUAAUCAUCGAGAGCCAGCCAAUCAAAUGAAUUUCUGCAGCAGGACUCCAUUUUGUUGGGUUAUAUGUGCAGUGGACGGGGCGUCCCGCGGCCGCUGGCUGGAACCUGUUGCUUCGCAGUUCCGUGUUGUGCAAUGGACGGCAGUGUCCACCAAGAUUUAACAGUUGGUACUAAGAGAGGAUCUGACGAACUUUUCUCCAGCGUCUCCAACGGCCCGUAUAUCAUGAACACCACAGGUCAGAACACACUCUGUGCACACAAGCAGAAUCCAAAG